UAGGAUGGUGUUCUUAUGGUUCAGAUCCCU
rnacentral:piRNA from 1 species